UACGUAGGGUGCGAGCGUAAUCGGAAUUACUGGGCGUAAAGCGUGCGCAGGCGGUUUUGUAAGCCAGAUGUGAAAUCCCCGGGCUUAACCUGGGAAUGGCAUUUGGGACUGCAAGGCUCGAGUGCGGCAGAGGAGACUGGAAUUCCUGGUGUAGCAGUGAAAUGCGUAGAUAUCAGGAGGAACACCGAUGGCGAAGGCAGGUCUCUGGGCUGACACUGACGCUCAUGCACGAAAGCGUGGGGA
rnacentral:rRNA from 1 species